rnacentral:rRNA from 1 species
GACAGAGGUGCCGAGCGUUAGGCGGAAUCACUGGGCUUAAAGCGUGUGUAGGCGGACGGGUAAGUACCUUGUGAAAUCCCACGGCUCAACCGUGGAACUGCUGGGUAUACUGCCUGUCUUGAGUCAUCUAGGGGCGAGCGGAACAAAUGGUGGAGCGGUGAAAUGCGUAGAUAUCAUUUGGAACGCCAAUGGUGAAAACAGCUCGCUGGGGAUGAUACUGACGCUGAGACACGAAAGCCAGGGGAGCAAACGGGG